UUCUCAAGCUCCUCUAGGUCCUUGAUCAUGGUCAGACCGUGAUCAUGGACAGACUGCCCUUCGCGCAUCUUCGCUUUGAAUUAAAAGUCUCUUGGACACUUCAAAACAAGCUGUGCGACUCUGCUCACCAUACAACUCUUGCAGGUGUGCUAGUAUCUCCCUAGCAGUCUUUAUAUUUUCAUGCUGGCAUUGGAGUUCAUUAGACAUGGAUGCCAUCAUAUAGCAUUUUACUCUAAUGUCAUCAUCCAACCACUUUUUAUGCAUCUCACCCUGAACAUCAGUAGGACGUGCUGGUAGUGUGGGG
rnacentral:lncRNA from 1 species